CGACGAUGAUGAUACUUUUUUUUCAAAGCCCCAGGUGAACUCUGAGUGAACAGAGUUAUUCCAACCGUAACUACAAAGUCUUCUAAUCUAAAACGAGUUAUUCCAACCAUAUGAAAACUCCCACUCGACAUCACAUAUGCAAUAAAAUACUCGCGUUUGCUACUCUCUUCUUAUAACACAAUUAAAAAUAAAAUGGUAUGAAUAGAU
rnacentral:lncRNA from 1 species